rnacentral:sRNA from 1 species
UACAAUAGAAGAAGGCUCUCUCAAGGGUGGUCUGGCUCACUCCCGGUGAAAGGGGGUGAUGCCAUUGACGGUAUUUGAAGCGCUGUCACUUAUGAUUGCUUUCGGCGCUUUGAUCGCGAUACUGUCUGAAGACAAAAAGAAAUAGACCUCCCUUGAGCCCUCGACAAGUUUAGGGGAUCGGUCUAUUUCAUGUAGACAAUCUGAGCCGGCCGCUCUUGAAAGGGCGGCUAUUGUACGAGGCCGCAAGUGUCGGCAACACUUGCG